UAUUAUAUUAAGUAUAUGGAUGAAGACUCGAGUAGUAUUAGUUAUGAUCUUGAAACUCAAAGAAUUUGGCGGUGUUUUAGUCCUUUUAGAGGAAUCUGUUCUGUAAUUGAUAAUACACGAUUUUUAUUACCUUUUUUAUGAGCUUAUAUACCGUCGUCAUAAGAUUAUUCUGUUUGAGGAAUAGUAAAUUUCUUGACUUUUUAUUAGAAAGUAUGUCAGAUCAAGGUGUAGUUUAUGAGAAGGAUUGAAAUGGAUUACAAUAAUUAUAAUUAUACGGAUAUAUUAUUAAUUGGUUAAUUGAAGGUGGAUUUAAUUGUAAAUUUAUUUUAAUUAAUAAAUUGAUUUAGGCUCUGGAAUGUGUACAUAUCGCCCGUCGCUCUCGUUAUAUAUGAG
rnacentral:rRNA from 1 species